rnacentral:ribozyme from 1 species
AGCCGACCGAGCGGCUAUAAACAGGAUUUAGGCUCGGUGCGUCCUGCCGGAAACGGCAGGGGUAUCA